AGUGAACGCUGGCGGUAGGCCUAACACAUGCAAGUCGAACGGCAGCACAGAGGAGCUUGCUCCUUGGGUGGCGAGUGGCGGACGGGUGAGGAAUACAUCGGAAUCUACUCUGUCGUGGGGGAUAACGUAGGGAAACUUACGCUAAUACCGCAUACGACCUACGGGUGAGAGCAGGGGAUCUUCGGACCCUGCGCGAUUGAAUGAGCCGAUGUCGGAUUAGCUAGUUGGCGGGGUAAAGGCCCACCAAGGCGACGAUCCGUAGCUGGUCUGAGGGGAUGAUCAGCCACACUGGAACUGAGACACGGUCCAGACUCCUACGGGAGGCAGCAGUGGGGAAUAUUGGACAAUGGGCGCAAGCCUGAUCCAGCCAUACCGCGUGGGUGAAGAAGGCCUUCGGGUUGUAAAGCCCUUUUGUUGGGAAAGAAAUCCAUCUGGUUAAUACCCGGGUGGGAUGACGGUACCCAAAGAAUAAGCACCGGCUAACUUCGUGCCAGCAGCCGCCGUAA
rnacentral:rRNA from 1 species